UACGAAGGGUGCAAGGCGUUAAUCGGAAUUACUGGGCGUAAAGGGCGCGUAGGCGGCCACUGCAAGUCAGUUGUGAAAUCUCCGGGCUUAACCCGGAAAGGUCAACUGAUACUGCAGGGCUAGAGUGCAGAAGGGGCAACUGGAAUUCUCGGUGUAGCGGUGAAAAUGCGUAGAUAUCGAGAGGAACACCUGCGGCGAAGGCGGGUUGCUGGGCUGACACUGACUGAGGCGCGAAAAGCCAGGGGGAGCGAAACGGGG
rnacentral:rRNA from 1 species